AUCUAUGGCCGAGUUGGUCUAAGGCGACGGAUUUAAGCCCCGAUGAGCACACCACGUGUGCUCAGGGUCCUUCUCUUCGGAGGCGUGGGUUCGAACCCCACUGGAUG
rnacentral:tRNA from 1 species